UCGGUCCCACCACCCAAGACACUUUGUCCAGUCAGAUGUUCAGUCCCUGCUGAAGCCAAACAUCUACAAGCCAACAGUCUUGCCAAUGGUCACCUUGCCAACAGUCUUGCCAACAGCCAUGCCAACCCUACCUUCCUACUGACGAGACAUGGCUCAGACAGGCUGGUGAGGGUAUCUGUUCAUUCACCUGUUACACCACAGUACUUUGUAUGUACAGUGCGGUACAGUCAAUGCUAAAAAAAGGUUCUCUUGACAGGUAAAUAACAAAACAAUACUUGUAA
ensembl:lncRNA